GCCCCCGGCGCAGAAAAAGGAGUGCCUUCGACCCCGCGGCCCCGGCGACCCCGCAGCCGGCGCGGCUCCCCGACCGAAGCCUCCUGGUUAUUUUACAAAAGACUAGAGAAACAAUUUACAUACCUGGUGUGAAAAGGAGGGAAGAAAAAGCCUUCCUUUACUUUUUCAUAAGGAAAGAAACGAAGUGCCAAGCAAUAAGCAUUUCCUGUUUGUGAAGUAUACAUACAAUUUUGUGUUACAAAAUUUUUCCUAUUUCAAUAUUUUUUGCCAAAGUCAAGUUUGUGAAGUUUCCAGUCUAAAUAGUGACUGAAGAGGACUGCCAUUGACUCAAAGCACUCUCUGGUCAGUACUGCAUAACUUCACCUCUUUGAAAUAUUUAGGAUGGAAAUUCACUUCAUUUUCAGAGCCAGAUCCCAUCAUGCCCAUAAAAAUGUUCAAAAAAGAAAUCCGUGAUGAACACACAAUGGCAAAUUUCCUUGGCACAACGUCCAACACAUGGAGAUGCCCUGUUCACUAGAGGCUGACGGUAGAGAGAAGAGCUAAUCUGAAGCAGCUGAGACCCCCUCUGAUGGCUACACCUGGAAAGCAGAGGUUUCUGUGAUAGUCUGGCCAAUCUCCAGAUAUUAUCAGUUAUUAAAACCUGACUUUAUUUAGCAGCAAUAACAAUUUAUUGAAUGGACAACAAGAGAUAUGAAUCAA